UACGUAGGGUGCAAGCGUUAAUCGGAAUUACUGGGCGUAAAGCGUGCGCAGGCGGUUGUGUAAGUCAGAUGUGAAAUCCCCGGGCUCAACCUGGGAAUUGCAUUUGAGACUGCAUGGCUAGAGUGUGUCAGAGGGGGGUAGAAUUCCACGUGUAGCAGUGAAAUGCGUAGAUAUGUGGAGGAAUACCGAUGGCGAAGGCAGCCCCCUGGGAUAACACUGACGCUCAUACACGAAAGCGUGGGGAGCAAACAGG
rnacentral:rRNA from 1 species